GUAGGUAACCUGCCCCGGAGCGGGGGAUAACAUUUGGAAACAGAUGCUAAUACCGCAUAACAACAAAAGCCGCAUGGCUUUUGUUUGAAAGAUGGCUUUGGCUAUCACUCUGGGAUGGACCUGCGGUGCAUUAGCUAGUUGGUAAGGUGACGGCUUACCAAGGCGAUGAUGCAUAGCCGAGUUGAGAGACUGAUCGGCCACAAUGGAACUGAGACACGGUCCAUACUCCUACGGGAGGCAGCAGUAGGGAAUCUUCCACAAUGGGCGCAAGCCUGAUGGAGCAACACCGCGUGAGUGAAGAAGGGUUUCGGCUCGUAAAGCUCUGUUGUUGGAGAAGAACGUGCGUGAGAGUAACUGUUCAUGCAGUGACGGUAUCCAACCAGAAAGUCACGGCUAACUACGUGCCAGCAGCCGCGGUAAUACGUAGGUGGCAAGCGUUAUCCGGAUUUAUUGGGCGUAAAGCGAGCGCAGGCGGUUGCUUAGGUCUGAUGUGAAAGCCUUCGGCUUAACCGAAGAAGUGCAUCGGAAACCGGGCGACUUGAGUGCAGAAGAGGACAGUGGAACUCCAUGUGUAGCGGUGGAAUGCGUAGAUAUAUGGAAGAACACCAGUGGCGAAGGCGGCUGUCUGGUCUGCAACUGACGCUGAGGCUCGAAAGCAUGGGUAGCGAACAGGAUUAGAUACCCCUGGGUAGUCCAUGGCCGUAAAACGAUGAGUGCUAGGUGUUGGA
rnacentral:rRNA from 1 species